AUUUCAGUUUCACUUUAAAAGAACCAAAGGAUCAAAGAUUCUAGAUCAAAGAUGUCUUCAUAAAAGACCUAGUGAAUUAACUGCAAAGCUAACAUACAGCUGUUGAACACACCACAUUGAGCAGCAGGUUUUUAAAGUCCUCUCCGGGCGGCUGAGUUGAUCUUCUACGGAUCUUUGGUCAGAGAGAACAACCAGGACUGUGGAUUCUCGUUUUUUUUUUUCUAAAAGAACCAUCUAUCCUUCAUAAUCUGUCCGUGAAGACAUCCUUCUGACCUGAAUUUUGGAAAGUGUAGAUGUUCAGAGGACCCAGCCUCAGGAUCAGCGAGGGACAAGGCGGCCUGAACUCUUCUGAAACCUGGCUCUCGUUCUCUCUCUGAGCUCUGACCGUCCUGAUCAGACGACCAGAGCACGGAAGAAGACCCCAGUCUGGUGAAGUGGAGUCCCGAGUGUGCGUGCGUGUGGAGACAGCGAAAGAGGGAGCAAGAGGAGUCCGAGCUGGGACCCACUAAACCCCAGCGCCAUGACUACGGCGGUGCAGCCCACGGAACUGGUGUUCGAGUUUGCGAGCAAUGGGAUGGAUGAAAUAAACCAGCUGGAUGACCCGUCAGUUUUUCCAGCAGUCAUCGUGGAGCAGGUUCCUGCCACUGAUUUGCUGCAGGUAUACUCUGGACUGGAGUCUGAUGAAGUGUCUAAUGGAAUUAUCGUGGACACCAGUCACCACGUGGUGGAGGAACCCUCCAUCAUGGUGGGAGGAGUUGACCUCGCAGAAACCACAGUUUCCGGAGCUGAGGACAGCAUAGAGACGAGUGAAGCUGCUGCGGCUCUGCUCAACAUGGAAUCUCCGAACAACAUUCUGGACGAGAAGAGAAUGAUUCACGCCUAUAGCACUCUGCUGGAGUCGGACCUGAACUACGCCCCCCUGAGGCCAGAUCAGAUGGAUAGCAGUGCUCUGGACAUGUCUCUGGAUGAGGACACGUCCUCCAUUGACGAUGUUCCUCCAAAGUGUCCACUGAAGCCCCAGAAGAAGAAUAAAGUGCGUAAACCGAGAGUGGCUCGUUCCUGCUCCCCCAUCACCACUCCAAAUCUGCCACUAAAGAAGAAAAGCAAAGAGGGUAAAGGAAACACCAUCUACCUUUGGGAGUUCCUGCUGGCUCUCCUGCAGGACAAGAACACUUGUCCCAAAUACAUCAAGUGGACACAGCGAGAGAAGGGAAUCUUUAAACUGGUGGACUCCAAAGCUGUCUCCAAGCUGUGGGGGAAACACAAGAACAAGCCUGACAUGAACUAUGAGACCAUGGGGAGAGCACUCAGGUACUACUAUCAAAGAGGGAUCCUGGCUAAGGUGGAGGGCCAGCGGCUGGUCUAUCAGUUCAAGGAGAUGCCUGCCGAUCUGGUGGUGAUCGAGGACGAGGACAUGAACAGCGAGGCCAACGCUGGCUACGGCAACCAGAGAUCCACCAACGGCAGGUCCGUGGUUCGAGGAGGUUCCAAAGGUCACAGCAGAAGUCAGAACCAGCAGCACGUGAAGCAGAUGAAGAAGGAGCCUCAAGAUGAAUACUUGUACCAGGAGGAGGCAUCUGGAGGACAUGCUGGACUGGGUGGACACAGUGCACAGCUCCUGCAGUCUGUCCAGGUCUUUCAGUCUCAUCAGGGCUCGGGGGCUCAAGAAGUUAUGAGGAGCAUCGCCGCUCCCGUAUCGCUGCCCAUGGUCCUGGCGACCUCUGGGUCGCUUCAGUCGGUCCCUCUCACCACCGUUCUGUCCAACGGGAGCUCCGCUCAUUCAUCUCCACCCAGAGUUAUCCUGCACGCCAUGCCGUCCAACGGGGGAACCUCUAAAGAUGUUCUCACCAUCCAAACAUCUCCUCUGGUAACCGGUGCUUCCUGUCUGGAGGACGGUCUUCCACAGCAGCUCCUGGUCACCGGUCUGAGCUCCUCCGCUGUCUCGUCCUCCUCCACAUCGUGCACCUCUCCUUCAGGAGUCAAUUGCAUCAAUGGCCUCCCACGUUUGGUUACCAUCAACACCAGCGGGGGGCAGACGAUGGUGGCGCAGCAGCCCGGCACCGUCAUCGCCACCGUCCUCAAAUCCAGCGAGCUCUCCGGGCUUCACGUCAAGGACGAGAUGCUGGACGCCUGCUACUUCCACUCGAUGGUGAACGGAGAUCCGUCCCUGGUCGCGCACACCUUCGACAAAGAGACGAUGGAGGCCGGGGAGGCGGAGCUUCAGUACAGGACGGUGAUUAUUGACGCCAAUGGGAGCCUGAGCCACGAGUUGGCAUCCGAAACCCUGGUGAAUGGACAUCAGUCGCAGAGCAGGAGCCCCAGUGAGGGCCUGACUCCCGUAGAGGAGCUGGAGGUGCGAGGAGAGAUAUCUCUGCAGCAACAGGAGCAGCAAAUGAAAGACCUGCAUGAGCUGCCGCUCUCCGUCCAACUGCCCGCAAACUUUAUCCAGAUAAAGACGGAGCCCGCGGAAGCUUAAUUUCUGCCGGACUACAGCUGAACUUACACUGAAGCAAAAAAAAACAACAAAAAAACAAAAAACAAACCCCAUACAAAAAAAAACCAAACAAACAAAAAAAACCAUAAAAAAUUGUUCCGAUAGAAAACUCGCUUAAUACACUGUACCAAAAAAAAACCAAAAAAACGAUAAGAAAAUGUCAAGUCAAAUUGCUGUCGUCAGUUGUUUGAGUUUUUGAGUCUGUUGUUCCGCCACUAAAUUGGACACGUAAGGUUUUACGAUCGAACCUUGAGAAUUGUUAUAAAAAAAAAAAAAAAAAGGUAAAUAAAAUGAAACAAAAUUUAGGUUUAUAAAAUAUACUGAGUAUUUUUUUUCUUUUUUUUUUUAACCUAAAAUUUGACUGGAGAGAAUUUGGACUUCAAAUUUUUUUUUUUUCGUAGAUGUUUAUUUUUUUACAACUCAGCCCGGUCAGUUUGACCUCAGGAUAUUUUUUUUAUUAUUAUUGUUUACUCACAAUUUUUUUGUGACAUAAAUAUGAUCAUUUUUUUUUUUCCAUUUUUGCCAUUGAUAUUUUUGGAUUAUAAUCUAUGGACUUGAACAGCAGAACAGACCAAAAACAGGAAAACAGCCAUCAGAUUAACAGCAGAGACUCGAGUCUUCUACCAAACGUCUUCUACCAAACGUCUUCUACCAAACGUGCCACUUCAUUAUUUUUGACGUUUCCGUCGAGUUUCGUUCCUUCCUUGAAUCUCACUGGACUUUGAAUGUUGCGAAGGGAAGCUCACCACGGGAACGCGUGAGGACUCGAUGCUAAACGGUGCCAUGAAAUCCAACAACUUUGAGAUUAAGCAAAACUGUUUCUCAAGAAGAAUCCAGACGUCUCAGAGCUACGGUGAGGAGCACCUUAACAGAUGUUUCCAGAAAAUGGAGGUGAAAAUUAAGAAAAAAAGAAUGAACGUAAAAGGCUUUUUCAGAUAUUUAAAAGCUUUUUAUUAAUGAAUUAUUUUGAUAAAAACAAACCAAAAAAAAAAAAAUCUACAUUUCUCUCUAUUACUGCUGGCCUGUUAAACACUGUGUUACUGUUGAAUGGCAUUUGCUGUCCAUCGGGUACAGUUUCAACAGAACCGGUUGAAGAGACUGAAGAGAGGCCGCGGCACAAACACACAAGAAAUCAAAGACAGACUGUAUAUAAUAAAUAAAGCCCUGGAACUGGCUACACUGGGAAUUAUUAUAGAAAUAUAUAUAUAUAGAUUUGUUUUUUUUUCUCCAUACUGUUGAAUAUCAGCAAUAUAUUUUCACGGGAAAUUCAUGGUUCGAGCCGUUUGUUUCUGCUCUAAAUAGGAGAGGCAAAUUAAAAAAAAAAAAAAAAUCGCGAUACAGUUUUGAAAAAAUGCAUGAGAGAGAGAGAGUAAAAAAAAAAAAAAAAGAGGCAGAUUAGGUGAA